GGAUUCCCCGAGUAGCGGCGAGCGAAACGGGACGAGCCCAGCGCUGAAUCCCGCCGUUCCGUCGGACGGCCGGGAAAUGUAGCGUUCGGGAGGAGAUUUUAAUUAUCGCGCGGUCUACAUAACGGCGGCCAGUCCAAGUCCAUCUUGAAAGGGGCCCUGCUUAUCCGUAGAGGGUGCCAGGCCCGUAGUGACGGUCGCCGGCCGCGACGGUCUCUCUCCCAAGAGUCGGGUUGCUUGAGAGUGCAGCCCUAAGCGGGUGGUAAACUCCAUCUAAGGCUAAAUACGACCACGAGACCGAUAGCGAACA
rnacentral:rRNA from 1 species